GCCCUUAGUCGGGCGGCCCCUGACGGGCAUGCCAGCAAUGGCUCGGCCUACACCACCGAGGACGUGCGUCUGCCGAUUUCAACAUCGGCCCGGUAUACUUACGGCGUGUUCGUGUUGCUCGGCACCGGGGAAGGCACCAGGCUGAAGGUCCUCGGCCUCGACACCGAAAUCAGCACAUCGUGGGUGAUGUGCGAGCCGUGCCACCCGUCGCCGCCGCAGGUCGGCAACCUCUUCUCACCAAGCGCGUCGCCCACAUUCCAUGGCGUCCACAACAACGAUCCGGUUUGCAUCACACCCUACCGGAAGACGGCUCACGGCUGCUCCUUCCACUUCUCUUCG
rnacentral:lncRNA from 1 species